rnacentral:rRNA from 1 species
GAUGAACGCUGGCGGCGUGCCUAAUACAUGCAAGUCGAGCGAACAGAUAAGGAGCUUGCUCCUUUGACGUUAUCGGCGGACGGGUGAUUAACUCGUGGUUAACCUACCUAUAAGACUGGAAUAACUCCGGGAAACCGUGGCUAAUGCCGGAUAACAUUUAGAACCUCAUUGUUCUAAAGUUAAAGAUGGUUUUGCUAUCACUUAUAGAUUGACCCGCCCCGUAUUAGCUAGUUGGUAAGGUAACGGCUUACCAAGGCAACGAUACGUAGCCGACCUGAGAGGGUGAUCGGCCACACUGGAUCUGAGACACGGUCGAGACUCCUAGGGGAGGCAGCAGUAGGGAAUCUUACGCAAUGGGCGAAAGCCUGACGGAGCAAAGCCGGGUGAGUGAUGAAGGUCUUCGGAUCGUAGAACUAUGUUAUUAGGGAAGAACAAAUGUGUAAGUAACUGUGAACGUAUUGACGGUACCUAAUCAGAAAGCCACGGCUAACUACGUG